rnacentral:rRNA from 1 species
UACGUAGGGGGCAAGCGUUGUCCGGAAUCAUUGGGCGUAAAGAGCGUGUAGGCGGUUCGAUAAGUCGGCUGUGAAAGUCCAGGGCUCAACCCUGGGAUGCCGGUCGAAACUGUCGGACUAGAGUCCGGUAGGGGAGCGUGGAAUUCCUGGUGUAGCGGUGAAAUGCGCAGAUAUCAGGAGGAACACCAGCGGCGAAGGCGGCGCUCUGGGCCGGAACUGACGCUGAGGAGCGAAAGCGUGGGUAGCAAACAGG